GUCGAGCGAGAAAUUUACGAAUGAAAUUUCGAUGGAUUUUGUGAAUGGAAAGCGGCGGACGGGUGAGUAACGCGUAGGUAACCUGCCCCAUACAGAGGGAUAGCCACUGGAAACGGUGAUUAAUACCUCAUAAAACUGAGAAUACACAUGUAUGCUCAGCCAAAGAUUUAUCGGUAUGGGAUGGACCUGCGUCUGAUUAGUUAGUUGGUGAGGUAACGGCUCACCAAGGCGACGAUCAGUAGCCGACCUGAGAGGGUGAUCGGCCACAUUGGAACUGAGACACGGUCCAAACUCCUACGGGAGGCAGCAGUGGGGAAUAUUGCACAAUGGGCGAAAGCCUGAUGCAGCAACGCCGCGUGAACGAAGAAGGCUCUUGGGUCGUAAAGUUCUGUUCUGAGGGAAGAAGAAAGUGACGGUACCUCAGGAGAAAGCCCCGACUAACUACGUGCCAGCAGCCGCGGUAAUACGUAGGGGGCAAGCGUUGUCCGGAAUUAUUGGGCGUAAAGAGUACGUAGGCGGUCUGUUAAGCGCAAGGUGAAAGGCAUAGGCUCAACCAAUGUGAGCCUUGCGAACUGGCAGACUUGAGUGCAGGAGAGGAAAGCGGAAUUCCUAGUGUAGCGGUGAAAUGCGUAGAUAUUAGGAGGAACACCGGUGGCGAAGGCGGCUUUCUGGACUGAAACUGACGCUGAGGUACGAAAGCGUGGGGAGCAAACAGGAUUAGAUACCCUGGUAGUCCACGCUGUAAACGAUGAGCACUAGGUGUCGGGGUCGAAAGACUUCGGUGCCGCAGUUAACGCAAUAAGUGCUCCGCCUGGGGAGUACGC
rnacentral:rRNA from 1 species